rnacentral:rRNA from 1 species
ACGACGCUGGCGGCGUGGAUUAGGCAUGACAAGUCGAACGGUAUCAUCCUUUCGGGGGUGAGAGAGUGGCGAACUGGUGAGUAACACGUAGGUUAUCUACCCUCAAGACGGGGACAACCCAGGGAAACUUGGGCUAAUACCGGAUGUGAGCAACUUUUAGUUGUUUGAAAGGUGGCGUAAGCUGUCGCUUGGGGAUGAGCCUGCGUCCUAUUAGUUAGUUGGUGAGGUAACGGCUCACCUAGGCAAUGAUAGGUAGGCGGCCUUAACGGGUGGUCGCCCACACUGGGAUUGAGAUACGGCCCAGACUCCUACGGGAGGCAGCAGUCGAGAAUAGUCUACAAUGGUCGGAAGACUGAUAGUGCGACGCCGCGUGAACGAUGAAUCCCUUCGGGGUGUAAAGUUCUUUUAUAUGUGAGCAGUGCUUCUUAUAUUAACAGUAUGGGGAGAGAGAUAUUAGCAUAUGAAUAAGCAACGGCUAACUCCGUG